CGAAGGGGGCUAGCGUUGCUCGGAAUCACUGGGCGUAAAGCGCACGUAGGCGGAUUGCUAAGUCAGGGGUGAAAUCCUGGAGCUCAACUCCAGAACUGCCUUUGAUACUGGCGAUCUUGAGUCCGGGAGAGGUGAGUGGAACUCCGAGUGUAGAGGUGAAAUUCGUAGAUAUUCGGAAGAACACCAGUGGCGAAGGCGGCUCACUGGCCCGGUACUGACGCUGAUGUGCGAAAGCGUGGGGAGCAAACAGGAUUAGAUACCCUGGUAGUCCACGCCGUAAACGAUGGAUGCUAGCCGUUGGCGGGUUUACCCGUCAGUGGCGCAGCUAACGCAUUAAGCAUCACGCCUGGGGAGUACGGUCGCAAGAUUA
rnacentral:rRNA from 1 species